UACGUAGGGUGCGAGCGUUGUCCGGAAUUAUUGGGCGUAAAGAGCUUGUAGGCGGUUUGUCGCGUCUGCUGUGAAAUCUCAAGGCUCAACCUUGAGCCUGCAGUGGGUACGGGCAGACUAGAGUGUGGUAGGGGAGACUGGAAUUCCUGGUGUAGCGGUGAAAUGCGCAGAUAUCAGGAGGAACACCGAUGGCGAAGGCAGGUCUCUGGGCCACUACUGACGCUGAGAAGCGAAAGCAUGGGGAGCGAACAGG
rnacentral:rRNA from 1 species